AGUGAGGUGUGGCCUGUUGCUCAGGCUGGCCCCAACUCAGGUGGGGUGAGCAAAGUCGGGUUAUGAUUGCUCAGAUUCGACUCCCCAAGAACAGUCCUCAGGUGGGCCUCUCACUUCUCCCCUGAGAGUUUGGCAGCCUCCUACACAUUGCAACCAUAUGGGGCCAUCUGUGGUGGUAUCCUCACUGCUCACUGUGACUCAGAGCUGUGUCCUAGAGGCCUCUCAUUCUCUUGCAGCUUCAGGAAGGCCCUUCUUUCUACCUCCAGUUGUCUCUGGGUGGGAUUCUUGCGGGGGCAGGGAUCGAGUCAAACCUUGGAAAUGACGUCAUUCUGAACUCAUCUGCCUUUAUCCAGAAGACUACCAAAGCAAACCAGAGGACCAGAGAACAGCAGCUGCUCUGGACAAAGAGGGGAGGACACCCACACCCACAUACCAAGUUCUGGUUGACUUCUACAGCAGAAGAAGCAGGAGACACAAGAAGAUCACGAUGUGAGCUCUCAGUUGUCGCUGCUCUGCCUUUGCUCCAGUACCUCAGACUCCAGCACUCUCGAGCUGUAAGCCCAGAUAAAAGCCUUCUUCUACAA
rnacentral:lncRNA from 1 species